UGAAACGCCCGCGAUCCUCAAUAGGAUCGUUGGCUAGGACUUGGUCCGAGAGAAGAAGGUGGAGUCUCGGACAAGUGAGAAGGAGCUGGCCAUAAGCUCGGACAAAGGGGAAAUCAUGCAGGCUAAGCUAGGAUCGUAAAGAAAUCAGCAAGGUCAGCUCGCCCAAAGCUCAAGCUCAGCUGGAAGGAGUGACGGUUACUCAGGUCGAGUGACGGUUGAGCUCGAGGUAGCUGGAUGAGUAACGGAUGAGCUCGAGGUAGCUGGACGAGUGACGGACUAGCUGGGCGGUUAUGGGCGCAGAGAUACAACUCUUCGGAAAGGUGCAACUCUUCGGAAGGACGCAACUCUUCGGAAAGGUGCAACUCUUUGGAAAGGUGCAAGGAACGGAUGUGUUGACACACCGAAAACACAAGAAACUCACCAUUAAAACUCUCUCCCUCUUGGGAGAAUAAAUAGUCUUAGGAUUCGGUAGCCGGGCUGUGGCCGGCAAUAAAGAAGGAGGGUCGGAUCGACCUAACCUCGAGAAGGAAGGUAAGGGAUCCUAGACUUUGAGUCUAAGGGUUCUAGGAUGUGAGUUAGUAGUCGGAUCCUUGAAAGGAUCGACUAGAGGGCUGGGUAGUAUCCGGGUCAUGUGCAUCCUACACAAGACUAGGUCCGGGUAGGGAUCGGCUGAGGCGGGGACGCGGCUCGGCGGAGGACCGGCGGAUCUUAACUGACCUGCCGAGAAUCGGCCGGGCUGAUGCGCGAUCUUCCCCUCUUUGAAUUCUCUCCACGGAUCCGAGUAGUGUAUGGCAUAUACAGCAUUGCAUGGACUUGCAUAUGAUUAAGUAAAUGAGAUUACUUAUGGCUCUAUGACUUUCAGGAACGAAUGGUGAUCGUGGGAACGACUUGGCUUAGGCGCGAGAGACUCAAGGCCGGGAUGAUGGGUGGUGAUAGUUCGGAUAGUCUAGGGAUCGAUUACAUGACUUGUAAUAGCUUAUAUGCAAACUCAUAGGUUGUAUCGAAUCCUUUGCUUAAUCAAUAAAGUAUCCGAUUGUUUGUUUACUCUAUUCGUCUCAUAUAUUGAAUCACGAAAUCAUAUGGAACGGAUUAGACUAGGAAAGAACCUCAUAAACGGUUAGGGCCGAGUCACUUAGUGGCUUGGGUCGAGAGAACUCGUCCGGACUUUAGGCAGUCCGGAUCGGGGCCUUUCAACCCACCUGUUGAUUAAACAACUGCAGAGUCAAGCUAUUGACUAUAAACAAGUGCUAAGUGGGAUUUUAGCUUAGGAUUU
rnacentral:sRNA from 1 species